UACGUAGGGGGCAAGCGUUGUCCGGAAUUAUUGGGCGUAAAGAGCGUGUAGGCGGUCCGGUAAGUCAGCUGUGAAAGUCAAGGGCUCAACCCUUGAAUGCCGGUUGAUACUGUCGGGCUAGAGUCCGGAAGAGGCGAGUGGAAUUCCCGGUGCGCGGUGAAAUGCGCAGAUAAUCGGGAGGAACACCAAUGGCGAAGGCGGGCUCAC
rnacentral:rRNA from 1 species